rnacentral:misc_RNA from 1 species
CAGAAGAAGAAGAAGAAGAAGAAGAAAUGGGUGGAAAUGGCCAUGAACAGGUGAUGAAGUCUAGAGUUGUGAAAGUAAAGUCAGAGGAGUCAUGGGAUUUCUUCAUCUCACAAGGCUGCCCUGUUGUAGUUCACUUUACAGCUUCCUGGUGCAUGCCCUCAGUGGCCAUGAAUCCUUUCUUUGAAGAACUAGCCUUGACCUAUCAAGAUAUUCUGUUUCUUACAGUGGAUGUGGAUGAGGUUAAGGGGGUGGCUAGGAAGAUGGAGGUGAAGGCCAUGCCAACAUUUUUGUUGAUGAAGGAAGGAGCUCAGGCUGAUAAGCUUGUGGGUGCUAACCCAGAUGAGAUCAGGAAAAGAAUCAAUGCCUU